rnacentral:rRNA from 1 species
CUGCAUGAAGUUGGAAUUGCUAGUAAUCGCGGAUCAGCAUGCCGCGGUGAAUACGUUCCCUGGCCUUGUACACACCGCCCGUCACACCAUGGGAGCCGGUAAUACCCGAAGUCAGUAGCCUAACCGCAAGGGGGGCGCUGCCGAAGGUAGGAUUGGCGACUGGGGUGAAGUCGUAACAAGGUAAC